rnacentral:tRNA from 2 species
GCCUUCGUAGUUCAAUGGAUAGAACAGGGCUCUUCUAAGGCCUUGAUGUAGGUUCGAUUCCUACCGAAGGCACAA